AAAAAGAGAGUCAAAUUUGUCACAAAUAUUACUUUAUACCCAUCAUCAUCGGUAACUUGGAAUGCUGGAUAAUCAAAUUAGCUCAAGAAAGUCAGCCCUCAGACCUUAUUCAUUUCAAGUUAGGCAAGACAGCAGUAUGUGCUAUCUUCUACUUAAACGGUUACGUUUUGGACAAGCAACAAACUCGGAAACUCGAUAGAAAAGAGCGGCGAUUUGCAAUGGACAGUAAGAGAUCUUUAGCGAAAUAAUAUGGACUUACUGCUGUUUCGUCCGAAAUGACGUCUACUUUUCCGCACUUACUGCUCCCUUACAAAUUUCUUUUUAAAAUUUUUUAUAAUUUAUGGUGUUUUAACUAAAUCUCACUUAAGAUCAUUAUAGGAUCUAGGAUUUUAAGAUCUUUAAGUUCAUAAAAAUUACAUUAUUCGAGUUUUAGGGGGGAACUCGAUGUUGAAAAUUUGGUCGUUCUCUCCGGUAACAUGGCAGCAAAGGUAUGACGCAACGCAUCAAUGACACCGUUUGCCCGUAUCAUUAGCCAAGGCGUCAAGGCCUCUUAACGGCAUCAAGUACAGCUAAGUCCACAAACUUCGAGCGAUUAAAAACGAGCCAUUCCACUAUUUGUUUUUACGCUAAUGUGCUGCAAUACGAAGCCGGGUGCUUUUUAAACAAUAAUUUAGUCGUGAGAGAUGACUCCCCAAUGGCGAACCACACCAAGCGUCUCCGAGGUUACCCCGCUAACACAGCCAUCCUGAUAGCAGCCCAGCUUGUUUUUUCCCGCAAUUUGUUCUUGGUUCUGAUACGCGCUGAAUCUUCCGUAUCACAACAAACUGGACUCUCUUUCGAGACGAACCGGGAAAGAGCCACAGAAUACUACCGGAAACUAAUGACCUGGUCAUCCGGGCAGUACGUAAUGCAGUGGAGAAAACCAAGCUACGGAGGAACCCCGAACUUGGAAGCCCAAAAGCCCGGAACCAGGUUGCAAGUCAGAUCCGAAGACGAAGACAAAGAUCCCACAGUGCCACCGCCACCCCCGAAGACGGUCGAGUUCGAGGAAGAUGGGGAUCCCAUGUACGGGAAGCCGGUGGCUUAUGUGAUGGACCCGCACGAGGACCAGCUCAACGAGCGGAUCGAAGCCAAUGGGGUGGAGAUCUGGGCGAGCAACCCUUGCCAAUGGUACAACGCCGGCUCGGAUUCGCACCCGAACAAAAAGCGAAUGAAGCACUGUAACGAAGCCAAGGAGCAUCUCGAAAAAGCCGGCUUCAAGGACGGUGACAGCUCCCUCUGCCCCAAGAUAGAUGGCGCCGACUGCUUCCAGGUCAAAGAAAAAUUUCAAUCCGGGCGUUGCUACGCACGGGUCUCCGGUAACAACCAGCACCACUACGUUCUCAUGAACAACUGCGUCCGGGACUGGAUGAAGACCAAGCACAUCCGCGGAACGGAAUGGCCGACGGCCAACGCGAACAGCACCCUCCCUGCCACUCCUGAGGUACCCCAUGAGCCGACGGACAUACUAUCCGACGGAGACCCAAAGUACCGGCAACCGGAAGAACGCUCUGACGACCCACCUGACGAUGUCCUUGACCGCGAGAUGAAGGUCAACGGACACAUAAUCUGGUUCCGCAACCCUUGCGAUGACUACGGUCGAGACACGCACUCCGGUGAGAACCGCGAUCGGCGACAAGGCUGCCACAAGCUUGCUCAGGCCAUACACGACGCAGGCUUCAAGAACGGCCAGUCGAAGCUGUGUCCACAGAUCGACGGCGCUGAUUGCUUCCAGUUCUUCGAGAAGGAAAAAGACGGCCGUUGCUACGCCAAGGUCAAGGCACCGGACGGUCUCAAGUACGUUCUCUUCUAUAGUUGCGUCCGCGACUGGCAGAAGCAAAAUAACCUCACGCACGAGGCGAAACUGAUCCCGGAGGGCGCCGGCUAUUACAAUCAACCUGAAUUGAAGCCGACUGAUCCGUCCGACGAAGAGAUGGAUCAGGAUCUCAAGGUGGGGCACACGACGAUCUGGGAGACAAACCCGUGUCGCUACUUCGCGCAUAUUGAUUGGGAUGAUGUAGAUAAAGAUAACGAGGACCUCCGACGCUUGGAUGAUUGUCGCAAUGCGGUGCGGUUCAUGAAGGAGGCCGGCUUUGCGAAUGGGAAGUCUAAGUUGUGUCCGCAGAUCGACGGAGCGAAUUGUUUCCAGUUCAAAGAUUUGGUUAAGUCGGGGCGAUGCUAUGCCAAGGUCAACACGGGGAAGGAGAGGAAGUAUAUUUUGUUGUACGACUGCGUGAAGGACUGGCAGAAGGGAACCAGUGGAAGUGGCGGAAGUAACGGAAGUGACGGAAAUAAUGGAACAAGUGAGUAAAGGGUUGGCUAAUGAGGAACCUCUGGUCUCUGGUGUUGACGCGUAAUCGCCGACUCUCGUCUCAUACGUACAUAAGAACCGCUUUCAGAAAGCUCUCUGGCGCUCUGCGGCAUCCAACCGCCGUAUAAUUCAAAUUUUUGAAGUAGUUAGAUCAAAAUAUCAUUACAAAUUUUUUUUCCACACCUUCAAAAGUUCUACUCGUUUUCAUGUAAAUGACUCGAUUUUGCCGAAAGUAUAAGAUACGACUCUUCUGAUCUGAGCUAUACUAAUGAGUGCAGAGGAUUUCAAUGAAUUUACACCAGAAAAUCUUUAAAAAAUGCCUUAAAAUAUUCUCUUUUAAAUUGCUCGUGUACCUAAUUACUAUAGCAAAUUGCUGUAUAAAGUUGUGAACCCCUUCCCAUCAGAAUCGACUUCUUUGCUUUUCCGCAUGGCUUGCUUUCAUUACAGUGUUAGUGCAUGUGCCGCUGCGCUGAAGAAAAAAACAUAUGAGCAGUUGAACCUUCCAAUUUCCUCCGAAUAAAAUAUUAAAUUUUGGAACAAGUUACGAGUAUUUUCCUAAUAAUAUUUGUAUUCAGAAGCACUAGGAAAACUCAGGAAUAAAAUUUUCUGGAGAAUAUUGAGCGUAGUUCACAUUAAGUUUUAUUAAAAAUUCAUAUUGUAUCAAAAGAAUUGGGCAACGUCUGGCUCAGCGGCGAUUUUACAAGUUGGCAACUCUGUUUUUUCUCAAUUUGUAUCCAUUAAAAAUAUCGAUUCUUGAUAAGGCAAGCUGUUUCACCAAUAAUCGAUUGUUUUAUAUACAUUUGAAUGGAAGAAAAACAGUGUUGCCAUGUUUCAAGAAUCGCCACCGGUCCGACUGUUCAUAUGACGUUUUUUCCUUAUAGGUACCAUGACAGCAUACUACCGUGCUAAGGAAGAACGCCGUAUGAACAUUCGAGAGUUGUCAAAUUUCCUUCGAUAAAAUGUUUAUUUUUGAGGAAAGUUAUGAUUAUUUUUCCUUGAAAUUUUCAGGAACUUUAGGUGAAAUAACGAAAAAAAUUAUCUUAAAAAAUUUGAGGAAAAAUAUUUAUAAAUUUUCCCAAAAAGUCGUGAUUUACCAAAGGAAAUUUGGCAACGCCUGGAGGUUCAUACGGCGUUUUUCCUUAACACGGCAGCAUAGUCCUCGGCUGACUACUCUUUAUAGCCCGGGCUCUCCAAAAAGGGGAUGUUCUCAAAAUCAUACUCAAUGCUUCUUUCUUUUGUAUCCCUAAAUUCGUAUUUUUAGCCAGCAUAUUCCAUAUUUGAUUCGAAGUGUUUGGUAGAUGUUUAAUACAUUUUGAAGCUUUGUGCCUCAGUUCACUCGUCGUUAUGUACAAAUAAUACAAUUUCAUGGAACAGGUUGCUUUGCUUUAACCAACUUUCGCUUCAUGAUAUUUCUACCUGUUUUUUAAAAAUACCUGUACAUCAAUAGCUUUAAAAAAAACACAAUUUACUGUGAACCAUAGACAGUAUAUUUCAGAGACCUCUUAUGCUUUCUUCUCUAUGUAAAGUGUAAGAGUUACUUCCAGGAAUCAGCGCUCAGAUUCGCCAAAUGAUGAUUGAUGAACAAAGAGUUAAGCAAGUAGUGUAACGAUCCUACCCUAAUAAUUUGCGAAAACUUGUUCACCAUAGAGUGCUCAACCCGACAUUCAUCAAUCAUUAUUACGGGUAUUUUAUUUGAAUUAUUGCUGAAUACGUGCUCUUCAAUCAUCGGUAAAAUUCCGAACAAAGGCGCAAACCCCAUAUACGCGAAUGAAAAUUUGCCCUUUCGAGGCGGUGGAAGCAAGGGUUCGUUUGCACGAAUAACUGCCAUUGAAGCUUGAGGAAAUGAGACAAGAACAAUUUUAUCUAUUUUAGAAAGCUGAUAGCAAUGUUUCAUUAUUUUUUAAUGUCGUGUUAUUAAAUAGUCCCUGUCCAAAAUAAGACGAACGAUAGCUUAAAAGUUCAGUGAUAUGUUUGUGACGGUUAUUUCAUCAAAGCCCGAGAAUACAAAUAAAGAAAGCUUGAGAAGAAAUAUGUACUUGCUUAUUGACAACGCCUCACCCAGAAUUUUAUGUGAGGAACUUUAAGCCGGCCGAAUUUUAGCAUCGCAGAAGUUAAAUUGAGGAGUGAGAGAAACGAACAGAGCACCCUCAGUUAGUAUAGUAUGCAACGAAUUUCAUUCUAACGCAUGGAUGCAAUUAUUCGAGCUCCACGGAUGUCCGUGCUGCAUACGCAAGAAAGUGAAGGCGUUUCAACUUUUCCCCCACAGCAUGACAGCGCAGCGGGUUAUACUGUGAGGAUCCGAAUGCAGAAAUGACAGGGGCUUCUAAUUGACAGGGGCGAUUCUUCGUUUGUAAUACAAAUGCAUUUACUAAGCACGUAUAGUUGCACAAAUGCGUAGGAUGUGAGUAUCUUUUGUGCUUCAGUUUUUGAUCUAGCAAUACGCUGCUGAGCAUGAUUUUUAGCGCAACUAUUCGUGGUUAAGAGAUAUCUUUGUAGUAUUAAAGAAGAAUUUAAAGCACUCUGUCGUUUUUGAUCCUCGUAAAUUCGUAAUACAGUCCGCUGUCGCACCUUGCCCCGAUUGAAGCGGUGAGUGCCCGCAGCCAAAACCGCCUUCUUUUCCGUGCGUAUGCAACACGCACAUUCGUGGGGCUCGAAUAGUUGCAUCCAGUCGUUGAAUCGAGAUUCGCUCGGUGUAUUUUGCGUAUGAUACUCCUUAACUUCACGCCGAUUGUGCCGAUGAAGUUAACUUAUACUGAUUUUUAUCGCAACAUUGUCAAUUUUCCGAAAAAUGCAUUGAUUGUUUAAAUAUCUCUCACCGUUGCCGACCCUUAAAAUAGCCAAAAAUUUAAGUAUCUGAACAAGAUUUGUAGUGUUUUAUUUAACUCACAUUAACGAGUCGUCCUUUCCUUGGAUUAUUUCAUCCUCUGGAAAAAAAUUUUGGCGUUUUAGUGCAAAAUUUUUAAAGAACACUUCUCGAAGCCGCCCUAAAGUUCCUCCUCUAAAAUCCUGAUUCAGGCGCAUACGUUUCUUCUUGAGGAGAUUCGUCAGGGUUUUUGGCGUGGUCGAACUGGCGUGCACAUGCUAUACAGAAAUCGAUAGCUGUAUCGAAUGCGAAGUUUACUUCCAAAACAGAACCUGCUUUUAUUUCUAGGAAUUUUGCACAUUUUUUGGUUUAGAAUGAUUUUUUAGGCUCAUGCCCACUAGAGGUUAAAGUCUUUUUUUGCCUAAGAAUUCACAAUCUGCCGAGAAGUUGUACCGAAUAUAUAUGCAUACAUCGCACGCCAGUUCGACCACGCCAGCAUCCAUGACGAAUCACGUACCUUAAGUUUUCCUUUAUCUAGGUAUUUUUGGCUGUAUGAGGCGAGUCUCAGACAGUCUCUUUUUGUUCUUAUUGGUAUCUCUUACUUGUGGGGUUUGCGCUUUUGAGUCCCAACCCAAUCAUCAUCAACGAUGACCUCCGAACUUAACUUUUGACCAACUCGAUUACAUUGCUGAGAUUGUAAGUGCGGGGUCUCUAAAAUAUACUGUCUUUCAUUGUGACAUUUUUCUUGAUAUUAGUGUAAAAAGUUGGUCAUAUUGUUGUAGGUACUACAGAUGACGACUACGACUACACGUCCGAACCGUCCGGAACGUAUUCAACAGGAAGUUGAAUAAAAUGUAAAACAAGACCGGAGGGGAGAUCAAAUAGAAUACAGUAAAUUUAAAUUUAACUCUGCACUUAUCAUCUUGUACUGCCUAAAAUUAUUAUUUACUCUUUCAUCAAACUGAAGAAAUGCCCAUACAAAACAUAGGCAAAAUUAAAAACCAAAAAAUUUGGAGUAAAAUCACUUGAACUCUUAAAUUAGAAAAAUUUUGAGUAGUACCUACCUCUACAGGUAUUUUUCCGUAAAUAUGAGUUCUCAAGUCUCAUGCCAAAACAAUAAUUGGAGCGUACAAUUUUAAAUAAUUUCAAACGUCAACAUUUUAAGGGACAAUAUUCUAGGAGGUAUCUUCGCUGUCAGAGAUGAUUUAUACAUCAUCUCUGAAAGAAAUAAAAAUUAUUAUAAAUGAUCGGUGAUCGAAGUCCUACCUGCAGAUGGCUACAAAGUCGAAGAAAACGAAUUUAUACGAUUGCACCGCUGCUGCGUUUUAUUACAGUUUUAAAAAGAAACCAACCAAUAUGUUUCCCUGAAAUGUUAUAUCCACUCAUACAUUCAGAAAUAUCCACAAAAUAUUCCAGGGUUUCUUGUAAAGUUUUUUUUAAAUGUUAAAAACUAAUUUUGGACAGAAAUUGCACCGUUGUGUACUCUCGAAAAAAGUGAAUCGUUUGAGUUGAUUUUGCAAUCAUUGAGUUAAGUUACAUUCCUUCGUCCAACAAGCGACAAAUUUUGCUAUCCCGGCUGUGACUAAGCGCUAACUACAAUUUUUUUUCCUACUGGGAGAAACGCAUCUUGCAUGUUAUCAAUGAAAUGAGAGAGUAUAUACCCAAACACGCAUUAUAAUACGUUAUAAUUUAUUAUACGUACUUUUUAAAUUAUGUAAUUUUGUUCUAUCUUUUUAUUUAUUGAAAGCCUCACUACGCGCGCUGAGUAAAAACGCCGUUUAUAUUCAGUACCUUAGAGCCAAAAGGUACCUAAGUCACAUUUUGGAGAAAAAUCGAGUUAGUGCCGUUUUGAAAAUCUCCAAUAACGGUUUCGUGCGUGUGGAAAAUUUGGUAGCCCUAUCUUACGCCGGUUAUGAGACGAUACGGAAUUUCAAAAAUUACGAUUUACUUUGGAAUUAAUUGGGCCGACGCACACGUUUUCCCUGAUAUCUGAGAAUGACUAAAUUGGAGUUCAGUACCUUUUGACUCUGGGGUACUAAAUUUGAGCUUUGGCAAAUUUCCUCUGAUAAAAGAUUUAACUUUAUGCAAGGUCAGUAAUGUUUUCCUUGGCAUUUUCACGUACACUGGGGGGAAAAUUACCUGAAUUUGCGGUUAGGAGG
rnacentral:lncRNA from 1 species